AUAACGGUCCUAAGGUAGCGAAAUUCCUUGUCGGGUAAGUUCCGACCCGCACGAAUGGCGUAACGAUGGCCACACUGUCUCCUCCUGAGACUCAGCGAAGUUGAAGUGGUUGUGAAGAUGCAAUCUACCCGCUGCUAGACGGAAAGACCCCGUGAACCUUUACUGUAGCUUUGCAUUGGACUUUGAAGUCACUUGUGUAGGAUAGGUGGGAGGCUUUGAAGCAGAGACGCCAGUCUCUGUGGAGCCGUCCUUGAAAUACCACCCUGGUGUCUUUGAGGUUCUAACCCAGACCCGUAAUCCGGGUCGGGGACCGUGCAUGGUAGGCAGUUUGACUGGGGCGGUCUCCUCCCAAAGAGUAACGGAGGAGUUCGAAGGUUACCUAGGUCCGGUCGGAAAUCGGACUGAUAGUGCAAUGGCAAAAGGUAGCUUAACUGCGAGACCGACAAGUCGAGCAGGUGCGAAAGCAGGACAUAGUGAUCCGGUGGUUCUGUAUGGAAGGGCCAUCGCUCAACGGAUAAAAGGUACUCCGGGGAUAACAGGCUGAUACCGCCCAAGAGUUCAUAUCGACGGCGGUGUUUGGCACCUCGAUGUCGGCUCAUCUCAUCCUGGGGCUGUAGCCGGUCCCAAGGGUAUGGCUGUUCGCCAUUUAAAGAGGUACGUGAGCUGGGUUUAAAACGUCGUGAGACAGUUUGGUCCCUAUCUGCUGUGGGCGUUGGAGAUUUGACGGGGGCUGCUCCUAGUACGAGAGGACCGGAGUGGACACACCUCUGGUGUACCUGUUGUCACGCCAGUGGCAUCGCAGGGUAGCUAAGUGUGGAAGAGAUAACCGCUGAAAGCAUCUAAGCGGGAAACUUGCCUGAAGAUGAGAUCUCCCUGGGGACUCGAUCCCCCUGAAGGGUCGUCCAAGACCAGGACGUUGAUAGGCCGGGUGUGGAAGCGCAGUAAUGCGUGCAGCUAACCGGUACUAAUUGCCCGUGAGGCUUGACCCU
rnacentral:rRNA from 1 species